CGGGCUUUCGCAGCAUAAAAACAUGUGUGGUGUUAAGUGGUUGUUAGUAGUACAUUAAAUUCUUUGAAAUGUUUUAAGACAUUCGAAGGAACAGCUUUUUAUAAUUUUGUCUUAAAGAGAAAACAAUAGUUUGGAAUGUCACGUUUUGCCAAAUCAACGCACUAAAACUUUUCAAGAGUGGCGCAUCUUUGCACUUCUAUCAUUCACCACUCAUAUCAUAAUGGACACACAGAUUCCCAC
rnacentral:lncRNA from 1 species